rnacentral:lncRNA from 1 species
GGGGCAUCUGGGCCGAUUUUAGUCAGGAACAUUCUCUCUUACAGACUAAGAGUAUAUAUUGGUUUUAGGGUGAAGGGGCUUAUCACAAGCCUGGAUUGUUUCUGUGUGGGGGAGGAAUUUAUGGUGGGGUUGGAAUGUCACAUAACAUUGUGGAAUGUCUCUGGGCAGAGGGGAGGUUGGUUAUCUUGGGGCUGACCUCUUUCUGGCUGGAGGGGGGUUAUUUCGGGGCUAGCAUGUCUCUGGUUGGGGACAAGUUUGGAAUGUUUCUGGCUGGAGAUGUUAUAUGUGGUUUAUGGUCAUGCUGAUCUUAACCAUUAGGCUGAUGCCCUUUGGAUUUAGGUGGUUUUUGAGUAAGGUGAACUUUAGAAUGAGGGCUUGUCCAAGAUGGUGAUGCUUCUGCUCUGUCAAUUACAAUACUAACAUAAAAGAUCACUCAUCACAGAUCAUCAUAACAGAUAUAAUAAUAAUAAUAAUGAAAAAUUUGAGCUACUACGAGAAUUACAAAAAUGAGACACUGACAAAAAGUGAACACAUACUAUCAGAAAAAAUGGCCCAAAUAGACUUGCUCUAUGCACGGUUGACAUAAACCUUAAAUUGGUUAAAAAAAUGCAAUAUCUGCAAAGCAGAAUAAAACAAAGUGCAGUUAAACAAGAUACACCUGUUUAGUGCAUGAGGAAAGCAGGGACUCUGUUUUCUUAUUCAAACUUAAAUUGAGAGUGUUUGUCUCAUUUAAAGUAUCAGUGGGCUGGUGUGAAGCAGGCGAGGAGCCUGCAGUGGGUGGCAUAGACUGAAGCCAGUGACUCCAAGCUGAGGCCAGCCUUGAGCCUGUGAAUAUAGGGAAGGAGCUUCCCUUGGUGUUUCCUGGGCAGCCUGCCCUCCCCUGCACGUAGCCUCCAGCUAUUUGGAACAGCUAAGGGGUGUGGAUUCUGGAAGCUACAGAGACCUGGAAAGCUGGAGACCUGCAUGCAGAUGUGGUUGUGGGGGCUGAGAACGGAGCAAGAGAGCAUGUUGAGUUCUGUCCUUUCUGAGGCUUUACCUCCAGUGUCUGGGACCAUUUCCUGGACAAUGUUUUCAUUUUGGUAUUAGAAUUGCGGGAGUCAGACUGUAGUUUGUAAUGAAAAAGAAAAAAAAAUUAAAGUUCCUUUAAAUCAGGCCCAGAGAGGCAUUUAAAAUGUAACAGGAGUCAUAUCUCACUCUCCACUUGAGCUAAUCACCUCUUGAAGCCACUUGUUCUGUGGGCUCUAAAUUAAUGCUAAGUAGAACUUUUACCCAAUAGUUCAACAAUGUAAUGAGUCACUAACCAAUGUUAUUUGUAUGAACCAAUGAGAAUUCCUGGACAACUUUUGUAAGUUCUUUGUGAUUUGUCCUUUUUUCUUAAAACUCAAGCCUCUGCUUUAUUCUCCAGAGCACUCCCCAAGGCCAAUUGGAAGUGUAUCCUGGGAAGUUGUCCUCAACCUCAGGCCAAAUGAACCCUCUAUUAAUUUUGCCCCAGCUUCUGCCAUUAGGUUGAUGCAUAAGUGAAGAAAAUCUGUGAAGGUCACUCUUACAGCUUCAGACUGGAGAAAGGGUUUAUGAAUUUGACAGUUUAUUCAGGUCAGAAUCCUAAACUGAUGCCAUGUGAGAGCUUCUUGCUGGUGGAUGUUAAGGCACUAAAGGAGGGAGUGUUGCCACGCUGAGGAUGGUCAGGGAAGCAUGUUGAGCUCACAGUUCAAUCCUUAGGUUCCUGGUCUGUUCCACCCCAGGCUCAAUGCGAGGGGUCAGAGUCUGACUCCCAAGCUUGGAAUACUCUUAGCCUCCCGAAUGAGGGUUUUCCUUGCGAACUGUAGGUGCAGGGGGCUGCUUCUCUGAUCUAGUUUAAAUGUUUGCUUUUAUUCUCCUUUAGUUCCUUUAUUGAAUAUUGCUGUCAUAUAACUCCAGUUUUUCCAUGCAUUUAAUAAUGAUGUUCUUGUUGGUGUGUCUAUCUUCUUGGCUGCGAAUGAAUAGAUUGAAAGAUAGGGUAUGAGAAAGCCUUGGCCUUGCCCCACAGCAGCCUCAUCCCAGUGGCCCUCCCUCCUGCUUUCUCUCUCUCUCUCUCUCUCCCUCUCUGUCUCUCUCUCUCCCUCCCUCUUUCUUUCUUUCUUUCUUUCUGAAGGAGUCUUGCUCUGUUCCCCAGGCUGGAGUAUAGUGGCAUGACCUCGGCUCACUGCAACCUUUGCCUCCUGGGUUCAAGUGAUUCUCCUGCCUCAGUCUCCCCAGUAGCUGGGACUACAGGCAUCUGCCACCAAGGCAGGCUAAUUUUCGUAUUUUUAGUAGAGGCAGGGCUUCACCAUGUUGGCAAGUCUGGUCUUGAACUCCUGACCUCGAAUGAUUCACCCACCUCUGCCUCCCAAACUGCUGGGAUUACAGGCGUGACUCCCUCCUGCUUUAGUCUUGCCUCACCAGGCCUGGGCACCCUUGCUGCUCUGAGGCCCGGGGAUUACUCUCUCCAUUAGACUCAGUGUGGAGUUUCCUCCUCCUACUUGUGACCCACCCUGCCCAGGAGGAAAAAUCAGGAAGGGCCCACUGCAUACAGGCAAUGCCAGUGUCUACUUGGCAAAGCCUGAAGAAAGUCCUGUAUAAAUGCAAAUAUCACGUCCGGGCACAGGGAGGAUGCGUGCCCUGUAGCCAUGAACCUGUCAUUCCCACUCCACUCAGCCUCCAGCCAGGGCGGGGAACCUGAGUCAGUGUCCAAUCAGGGGGGCUGGGGACCGUGCACACUGUUCAGUCAGGUGUGAAGCUGUCACCCGCAGGUGCUGGGCUUCGUUGCUGUUUCUGGCAGAGUCCUGCUUCUCGCGCCCGCUGCACUGGGUUUGGCGUCUCUGCUGUUCGCUGAGAUCUGCACACUCCAGGAGCCAUAGGGAGGACGCCAGGACAGCCCCGAAGACGAGAAUGCCUCGCUCCUCCUAGGACGGGAGGAAAAUCCCACAAAUCCUGUCUACUCCAAGCAGCCGCGCCCCUCGGGAGACCACCCCAGUUGGAGGGGCCCACUCCAGCCACCGCUACACCGGGACGCGCUCCUCCUCCCCCUGUGCCCGCCCCUUCUCGUGAGGGACCACCAGGAGGCCCCUCGAUUCCCCAGCAAAACACAGGUUUUGGAGCCAGAGUUUCUGAGUUUGAAUGUUUGGUCUGCUACUGACCAACUCUAUGGGCUUGGGCCUGCAAAGAAAACAUCAAAGAAGAAGGUCAAAAACCAAUUACAUUCUAGGAGUGACCUUGAUGACUUAACUCUGUAAUCUGCAGCAACCUCAGAGGAUCAUGGGAUGCAUUAUGCACGUCAUGGAAUGGAUUGUAAUGGUAGGACCAUUACAUAAAUAGGCCUUUUUGUGCUUCCUACUGUAACGUAUGCAUGUAUUGUUUAGCACUGAUGUGUUAUAGUGAUGUUCAUCUCAGAAAUCUACCUUAUGUUAAAAUAGAAUGAGAACUCUUACAUAUUGUACACUCUCAGCCAAAGACCUAGGGUUAUUCCACUGUACUUUUCUCAGUGUGAAUGGCACUCCCAGUGUUUCUGUUGAGUCUGCAUCUCUCCUGUGCCUUCGUCCAGCUCAGGUUACCAUGUCUCCCAUCUGGAAUAUACUACAAUAACCUUAGAUGUGUUUUCCUUGCUAACCUGCCUCCUAAAACCAUGGUCUACUCUGCCAUCAUAAUCAUAUAUUUUUAAAAAUUCAGAUCUAAUUAUAUUACCACCUUGCUUAAAACUGAGCUAUUCUCAUUGCCAGAAGGUGAAAGAUCUCAGUCCUCCCGCUUUACCCUGCAUCAUUUCAUUUUCUUCUUUCUCUGUGUCCAGCCACUGUCUUAGAUGUUUGUUCCUGUAAUCCAUAGCUUUAGUGAGGCAUAAUUAAUAGAUAAUAAACUGAACAAUAUAAGAUGUAUGAUUUGAUAAGUUUUGAAAUAUAUGCAAAUAUGAAAUCAUCACCGUAAUCAAGGAAGUUAAGAUAUUCAUCAUCCACAGAAGUCUCAUUGUGCCACUUUAUGUUCUUUUAUCAGGAAACUGCUGAAUUAUUUUCCAAAGUAUAUGUACCAUUUUCUGUUUCUGCAGCUGUAUAUGACAAUUCCAGUUGCUCUGUGUGUCAUCACAAACACUUAGCAUCAGCAUUUAUUUUAUAUUUUGAGUCAUUCUGAAGGGUGUGUGUUGUGCACAUCAUUAUGUUUUUCAUGUUUGUUACCUGAAUGACUAAUAAUAUUAAGCUUCUUUUUAUGUGUUUAUUUGCCAUCUGUAUAUCUUCUUUGCUGAAUUGUCAUUUCAAACAUUUUGCUAUUAAAAAUCAGGUUUCUUUUUUCUUUUUUCUGUUUCUUUUAAACAUUUCCUGAAAAUUUUCAGUGUAACAUCUAUGAAAUCAAAGGAUGAAGAAGAUCGUGCCCAGGUAAUACCCACUCUCUUUGUCUUCUAAAGAAAUGUUGCUUUCCUGAUUUCCUCCCUUCUCAAUUUAGAUGUGAAAAUCUAACAAUACACAUAAUGUACAACAUAUACAAUUCUCUUUGUGGGGGUGGUGUUCAGUGGGACUCUCCUCCCAACUGACACCUGAUACCCUAAGACAUUUUAAAAUGACAGUAUUCAUUAUCAAGUGUAAUGUAGAGGCAUUUUCCUCAGCAUCAGUUUUCCUCCUUGGAGCUUUGAGUGUGCUGUGUUUGUGAUCAUCUUUUCUUGCUUUAUUAUUUAAAGUUGAUUUUUCUGAGAACACCGGCUUUUUUCUGCCACUGCUACUGUAAAAUAGCAAUGCUUUUGGUUUGGAUUAGUUAGCACCCCAUGGGGAUUCUGUGUGAGAUGUUUUGGGUUGGGUGUUUUAUGUUAUCUGUGAUGGAAGGAGUCUUCAGGACACAACUAUCUCACCGGUGCUUCCUUAAUCCUGGAGACAAAAUUCUCCUACUGUAUGCCCAAGUGUUUACCCUCACCCUAUGAACUUUUAGGACUUGUAGCAGCACAUUAAUUUCUCUGUCCUUACUGUUUACUUCUGAUUUAAAGAGCUCUCCUUGGGGGUGGAUGACAGAAUGAACAUUUACUCUGGGCUCACUGGAAAAGCUCCAACGUCUUGGAAAUUGAGUGGGUAAGCACAACCUUGAGCACAUUGUCAGCAUUCCAUUUCUUUUUUGAAUAAGAAUAUGCAGUUUUACCAAUAUCAUUGGUUCAAGAGGCUUUCCUUUCCCAGUUGUGUAUUCUUGGCACCUUUGUUGAAGAUCACUUGACUGUGUAUGUGUGCAUUUAGUUCUGGGCUCUCUUUUCUCUCCCAGGGGUUCUAAUGGGUGCCCUUAUGCUAGGACCAUGCUGUCUAAAUUUCUGUGGCUUUGUUGUAAAUUUGAAUCUUAUGAAUGUCUGUCCUCCAACACUAUUCUUUUUCAUGUUAUCAUGGCUAUUUGAGGCCAUGGGAAAAUUCAUAAAAAUAAUUUUAGGAUUAGCUUUUCCAUUUCUGCACACAUGGCCAUUACCAGUUCGAUAAUAGUUGUUUUGAGUCUGUAGAUCAUUUGUGUAAUAUUGUGUAUUAGUAAGAUUUAGACUUCCUAUCCAUGAAUACAGGAUGCCUUUUCACUUAUUUUUACCUUCUUUGCUUUCUUUCAGUAGUCUUUCUUUCUAAUCACUCUACAAGUAUUUCACCUCCUUGGUUAGGUUUAUUCCUAAGUAUUUAGUUAUUUUAGAUGUUAUUAUAAGUGGGAUUACAUUUGUCAUCUUCUUGUUGGAUCAUUCACUGUUGGUUUGUAUUAACAAACCAAUCAUUUGAAUAUUGGCCUUGUACCCUGCAACUUUGAUGUAAUUAUUAACACUAAUAGCAUUCUUGGAGAUUAUUUCUGAUUUUCUAUAUGUAGAAUGAUAGAGAAGUUCUGUUUCACACCUAUUUUCUCAAGAUAGUCUAUAUUGAUACUGUAAAGAUAUGUUCAUAUUCACCUACUGAAUGAUGUCCUUCCAAAAGGCCUUGUUAGAUUAUUCAAAAAAUAUUUUGUCAUUACAUUCCACAAUUUAAUAAAAAAUA